rnacentral:tRNA from 1 species
GUCAAUGUAGCUUAUUUUUAAAAGCGCGGCACUGAAGAAGCCGAGAUGAGAAACAUGAAAAUCUCCACAGACA